UGCUUGUCUCAAAGAUUAAGCCAUGCAUGUCCAAGCAUAAACCGAAUAUGGUAAAGCCGCGAAUGGCUCAUUACAACAGCCAUAGUUUAUUGGAUCUUAGAGUCCUACUUGGAUACCUGUGGUAAUUCUAGAGCUCAUACACGCAAUCAAGCCUCAACCUUACGGGAGGGGCGCAUUUAUUAGAACAAAACCAAUUGGCUUCGGCCAUAGAUUGGUGAAUCUGAAUAACUACGCUGAUCGCACGGGCUUGUCCCGGCGACGUAUCCUUCAAGUGUCUGCCUUAUCAACUUUCGAUGGUAGUUUAUAUGACGACCAUGGUUGUAACGGGUAACGGAGAAUAAGGGUUCGACUCCGGAGAGGGAGCCUGAGAAACGGCUACCACAUCCRAGGAAGGCAGCAGGCA
rnacentral:rRNA from 1 species